GGUAAUGAAAUCGCUGAUAAGUCUGCUAACAUAGCCACAACACUCCCCAUGCCAGGACAACCAGGAAGAUCCCUCGGACC
rnacentral:ribozyme from 1 species